rnacentral:rRNA from 1 species
AGUCGAACGGAAAGGCCCUGCUUGCAGGGUACUCGAGUGGCGAACGGGUGAGUAACACGUGGGUGAUCUGCCCUGCACUUCGGGAUAAGCCUGGGAAACUGGGUCUAAUACCGGAUAGGAGCCAUUUUUAGUGUGAUGGUUGGAAAGUUUUUUCGGUGUAGGAUGAGCUCGCGGCCUAUCAGCUUGUUGGUGGGGUAAUGGCCUACCAAGGCGGCGACGGGUAGCCGGCCUGAGAGGGUGGACGGCCACAUUGGGACUGAGAUACGGCCCAGACUCCUACGGGAGGCAGCAGUGGGGAAUAUUGCACAAUGGGCGCAAGCCUGAUGCAGCGACGCCGCGUGGGGGAUGACGGCCUUCGGGUUGUAAACUCCUUUCGCUAGGGACGAAGCUUUUUGUGACGGUACCUAGAUAAGAAGCACCGGCUAACUACGUGCCAGCAGCCGCGGUAAUACGUAGGGUGCGAGCGUUGUCCGGAAUUACUGGGCGUAAAGGGCUCGUAGGUGGUUUGUCGCGUCGUCUGUGAAAUUCCGGGGCUUAACUCCGGGCGUGCAGGCGAUACGGGCAUAACUUGAGUACUGUGGGGGUAACUGGAAUUCCUGGUGUAGCGGUGAAAUGCGCAGAUAUCAGGAGGAACACCGAUGGCGAAGGCAGGUUACUGGGCAGUUACUGACGCUGAGGAGCGGAAGCAUGGGUAGCGAACAGGA